rnacentral:rRNA from 1 species
UACGAAGGGUGCAAACGUUGCUCGGAAUUAUUGGGCGUAAAGCGCACGUAGGCGGCUCUGUAAGUCGGAUGUGAAAUCCCUCGGCUUAACCAAGGAAGUGCAUCCGAAACUGCAAGGCUUGAGUACUUAAGAGGAUCGCGGAAUUCCCGGUGUAGAGGUGAAAUUCGUAGAUAUUCGCAAGAACACCAGUGGCGAAGGCGGCUCACUGGCCCGAUACUGACGCUGAGGCACGAAAGCGUGGGGAGCAAACAGG